rnacentral:rRNA from 1 species
AUUGAACGCUGGCGGCAGGCCUAACACAUGCAAGUCGAAUGGUAACAGGAAACAGCUUGCUGUUUCGCUGACGAGUGGCGGACGGGUGAGUAAUGUCUGGGAAACUGCCUGAUGGAGGGGGGAUAACUACUGGAAACGGUAGCUAAUACCGCAUAACGUCGCAAGACCAAAGAGGGGGACCCUUCGGGGCCUCUUGCCAUCAGAUGUGCCCAGAUGGGAUUAGCUAGUAGGUGGGGUAACGGCUCACCUAGGCGACGAUCCCUAGCUGGUCUGAGAGGAUGACCAGCCACACUGGAACUGAGACACGGUCCAGACUCCUACGGAGGCAGCAGUGGGGAAUAUUGCACAAUGGGCGCAAGCCUGAUGCAGCCAUGCCGCGUGUAUGAAGAAGGCC